rnacentral:rRNA from 1 species
CUCGCUUACGAGUGGGCGUCCGGCGAAACUGCUCGGCUUGGGACCGGAAGAUCCAAGGGGUACGUCCGGGGUAGGAGUGAAAUCCCGUAAUCCUGGACGGACCACCGAUGGCGAAAGCACCUUGGAAGGACGGAUCCGACAGUGAGGGACGAAAGCUAGGGUCUCGAACCGGAUUAGAUACCCGGGUAGUCCUAGCCGUAAACGAUGCUCGCUAGGUGUGGCGCAGGCUACGAGCCUGCGCUGUGCCGUAGGGAAGCCGUGAAGCGAGCCGCCUGGGAAGUACGUCUGCAAGGAUGAAACUUAAAGGAAUUGGCGGGGGAGCACUACAACCGGAGGAGCCUGCGGUUUAAUUGGACUCAACGCCGGACAUCUCACCAGCUCCGACAGCAGUAAUGACGGUCAGGUUGAUGACCUUACCCGACGCUGCUGAGAGGAGGUGCAUGGCCGCCGUCAGCUCGUACCGUGAGGCGUCCUGUUAAGUCAGGCAACGAGCGAGACCCGCACCUCUAGUUGCCAGCAGCAUCUUGCGAUGGCUGGGUACACUAGGGGGACUGCCGUCGCUAAGACGGAGGAAGGAACGGGCAACGGUAGGUCC